rnacentral:rRNA from 1 species
UACGUAGGGGGCGAGCGUUGUCCGGAUUCAUUGGGCGUAAAGAGCUCGUAGGCGGUUCGGUAAGUCGGCUGUGAAAGUCCAGGGCUCAACCCUGGGAUGCCGGUCGAUACUGCCGGACUAGAGUUCGGAAGAAGCGAGUGGAAUUCCCGGUGUAGAGGUGAAAUUCGUAGAUAUUCGCAAGAACACCAGUGGCGAAGGCGGCUCACUGGCCCGGUACUGACGCUGAGGUGCGAAAGCGUGGGGAGCAAACAGG